rnacentral:rRNA from 1 species
ACUCCUACGGGAGGCAGCAGUGGGGAAUAUUGGACAAUGGGCGAAAGCCUGAUCCAGCAAUGCCGCGUGUGUGAAGAAGGCCUUAGGGUUGUAAAGCACUUUCAGCAGGGAAGAAAAGCUCGGGGAUAAUACCCGGCCGUGCAUCGGUACCUGCAGAAGAAGCACCGGCUAACUCCGUGCCAGCAGCCGCGGUAAUACGGAGGGUGCAAGCGUUAAUCGGAAUUACUGGGCGUAAAGCGCGCGUAGGUGGUUUGGUAAGUCGGAUGUGAAAGCCCC